GGCGAAGUAGGAUGUGUUCUUCGGAAUGCGUUCUACUUAGCGGCGGACGGGUGAGUAACGCGUGAGGAACCUGCCUCUCACAGAGGGAUAGCCUCGGGAAACUGAGGGUAAUACCUCAUGAGACUUAUAUACCGCAUGGUAUGUAAGUUAAAGCGAUUUAGCGGUGAGAGAUGGCCUCGCGUCCCAUUAGCUAGUUGGUGAGGUAACGGCUCACCAAGGCGACGAUGGGUAGCCGGCCUGAGAGGGUGGACGGCCACACUGGAACUGAGACACGGUCCAGACUCCUACGGGAGGCAGCAGUGGGGGAUAUUGCACAAUGGGGGAAACCCUGAUGCAGCGACGCCGCGUGAGCGAAGAAGGCCUUCGGGUCGUAAAGCUCUGUCCUAAGGGAAGAUAAUGACGGUACCUUAGGAGGAAGCCCCGGCUAACUACGUGCCAGCAGCCGCGGUAAAACGUAGGGGGCGAGCGUUGUCCGGAAUUACUGGGCGUAAAGGGUGCGUAGGCGGCUAUUUAAGUCAGAUGUGAAAGGCUACGGCUCAACCGUAGUGAGCAUUUGAAACUGAAUAGCUUGAGUCAAGGAGAGGGAAGUGGAAUUCCUGGUGUAGCGGUGAAAUGCGUAGAUAUCAGGAGGAAUACCAGUGGCGAAGGCGACUUCCUGGCCUUAGACUGACGCUGAGGCACGAAAGCGUGGGGAGCAAACAGGAUUAGAUACCCUGGUAGUCCACGCCGUAAACGAUGAGUGCUAGGUGUUGGGGAGGUUACUCUUCAGUGCCGCAGCUAACGCAAUAAGCACUCCGCUUGGGGGAGUACGGUCGCAAGAUUAAAACUCAAAGGAAUUGACGGGGACCCGCACAAGNNGCGGAGCAUGUGGUUUAAUUCGAAGCAACGCGAAGAACCUUACCUAGACNNGNC
rnacentral:rRNA from 1 species